ACAAGCAGUGGAGUAUGUGGUUAAUUCGAAGCAACGCGAAGAACCUUACCAGGGCUUGACAUCCCUUGAAGCAGCUAGAGAUAGCUGUGUCCUUCGGGACAAGGAGACAGGUGGUGCAUGGUUGUCGUCAGCUCGUGUCGUGAGAUGUUGGGUUAAGUCCCGCAACGAGCGCAACCCUCGACCUUAGUUGCCAGCAUUCAGUUGGGCACUCUAAGGUGACUGCCGGCUAAAAGUCGGAGGAAGGUGGGGAUGACGUCAAAUCAUCAUGCCCCUUAUGACCUGGGCUACACACGUGCUACAAUGGGCGGUACAAAGGGUCGCGAACCCGCGAGGGGGAGCCAAUCCCAAAAAGCCGCUCUCAGUUCGGAUUGCAGGCUGCAACUCGCCUGCAUGAAGCCGGAAUCGCUAGUAAUCGCAGGUCAGCAUACUGCGGUGAAUACGUUCCCGGGCCUU
rnacentral:rRNA from 1 species